rnacentral:rRNA from 1 species
AGUGGCGGACGGGUGAGUAACGCGUGAGAAUCUGCCUUGGGGUCGGGGACAACCACUGGAAACGGUGGCUAAUACCGGAUAAGCCGAUUGGUGAAAGAUUUAUUGCCCGAAGAGGAGCUCGCGUCUGAUUAGCUAGUUGGUGAGGUAAGAGCUCACCAAGGCAGCGAUCAGUAGCUGGUCUGAGAGGACGAUCAGCCACACUGGGACUGAGACACGGCCCAGACUCCUACGGGAGGCAGCAGUGGGGAAUUUUCCGCAAUGGGCGAAAGCCUGACGGAGCAAGACCGCGUGAGGGAGGAAGGCUCUUGGGUUGUAAACCUCUUUUCUCAGGGAAGAAGCUCUGACGGUACCUGAGGAAUCAGCCUCGGCUAACUCCGUGCCAGCAGCCGCGGUAAUACGGAGGAAGCAAGCGUUAUCCGGAAUUAUUGGGCGUAAAGCGUCCGCAGGUGGCGAUUCAAGUCUGCUGUCAAAGCACGGGGCUUAACUCCGUAAAGGCAGUGGAAACUGAAUAGCUAGAGUGCCGUAGGGGUAGAGGGAAUUCCCGGUGUAGCGGUGAAAUGCGUAGAGAUCGGGAAGAACAUCGGUGGCGAAAGCGCUCUACUGGACGGCAACUGACACUCAGGGACGAAAGCUAGGGGAGCGAAUGGGAUUAGAUACCCC